GCAUAUCAAUAAGCGGAGGAAAAGAAACCAACAGGGAUUGCCUUAGUAGCGGCGAGUGAAGCGGCAAAAGCUCAAAUUUGAAAUCUGGCACUUUCAGUGUCCGAGUUGUAAUUUGAAGAAGGUAUCUUUGGGUCUGGCUCUUGUCUAUGUUUCUUGGAACAGAACGUCACAGAGGGUGAGAAUCCCGUGCGAUGAGAUGUCCCAGACCUAUGUAAAGUUCCUUCGAAGAGUCGAGUUGUUUGGGAAUGCAGCUCUAAGUGGGUGGUAAAUUCCAUCUAAAGCUAAAUAUUGGCGAGAGACCGAUAGCGAACAAGUACAGUGAUGGAAAGAUGAAAAGAACUUUGAAAAGAGAGUGAAAAAGUACGUGAAAUUGUUGAAAGGGAAGGGCUUGAGAUCAGACUUGGUAUUUUGUAUGUUACUCUCUCGGGGGUGGCCUCUACAGUUUACCGGGCCAGCAUCAGUUUGAGCGGUAGGAUAAGUGCAAAGAAAUGUGGCACUGCUUCGGUAGUGUGUUAUAGUCUUUGUCGAUACUGCCAGCUUAGACUGAGGACUGCGGCUUCGGCCUAGGAUGUUGGCAUAAUGAUCUUAAGUCNCCCGUCUUGAAACACGGACC
rnacentral:rRNA from 1 species